AGUGAACGCUGGCGGUAGGCCUAACACAUGCAAGUCGAACGGCAGCACAGUAAGAGCUUGCUCUUACGGGUGGCGAGUGGCGGACGGGUGAGGAAUACAUCGGAAUCUACUUUUUCGUGGGGGAUAACGUAGGGAAACUUACGCUAAUACCGCAUACGACCUACGGGUGAAAGCAGGGGAUCUUCGGACCUUGCGCGAUUGAAUGAGCCGAUGUCGGAUUAGCUAGUUGGCGGGGUAAAGGCCCACCAAGGCGACGAUCCGUAGCUGGUCUGAGAGGAUGAUCAGCCACACUGGAACUGAGACACGGUCCAGACUCCUACGGGAGGCAGCAGUGGGGAAUAUUGGACAAUGGGCACAAGCCUGAUCCAGCCACACCGCGUGGGUGAAGAAGGCCUUCGGGUUGUAAAGCCCUUUUGUUGGGAAAGAAAAGCAGCAGGUUAAUACCCCACUGUUCUGACGGUACCCAAAGAAUAAGCACCGGCUAACUUCGUG
rnacentral:rRNA from 1 species